rnacentral:rRNA from 1 species
GGUCAAGCGAAUAAGCGCACACGGUGGAUGCCUAGGCGGUCAGAGGCGAUGAAGGACGUGGUAGCCUGCGAAAAGUGUCGGGGAGCUGGCAACAAGCUUUGAUCCGGCAAUAUCCGAAUGGGGAAACCCACUGCUUCGGCAGUAUCCUGCAGUGAAUUCAUAGCUGCUGGAAGCGAACCCGGUGAACUGAAAUAUCUAAGUAACCGGAGGAAAAGAAAUCAACCGAGAUUCCCUAAGUAGUGACGAGCGAACGGGGAGCAGCCCUUAAGCUGGAAUGGCUUUAGAAAAACAAUCUGGAAAGAUUGGCCAUAGAAGGUGAUAGCCCUGUAUUUAAAAGGGCCACUCCAGUGAAGACGAGUAGGGCGGGGCACGUGAAACCCUGUCUGAAUAUGGGGGGACCAUCCUCCAAGGCUAAAUACUCCUGACCGACCGAUAGUGAACCAGUACCGUGAGGGAAAGGCGAAAAGAACCCCGGAGAGGGGAGUGAAAUAGAUCCUGAAACCGUGUGCGUACAAGCAGUAGGAGCUCGCAAGAGUGACUGCGUACCUUUUGUAUAAUGGGUCAGCGACUUACUGUUCGUGGCAAGCUUAACCGUAUAGGGGAGGCGAAGGGAAACCGAGUCUGAUAAGGGCGCAUAGUCGCGGGCAGUAGACCCGAAACCGGGUGAUCUAGUCAUGGCCAGGGUGAAGGUGCCGUAACAGGUACUGGAGGCCCGAACCCACGUCUGUUGCAAAAGACGGGGAUGAGCUGUGAUUAGGAGUGAAAAGCUAAUCGAACCCGGAGAUAGCUGGUUCUCCUCGAAAGCUAUUUAGGUAGCGCCUCAUAUGUAUCCUCUCGGGGGUAGAGCACUGUUAUGGCUAGGGGGUCAUCGCGACUUACCAAACCAUUGCAAACUCCGAAUACCGAGACGGACUGUAUGGGAGACACACGGCGGGUGCUAACGUCCGUCGUGAAAAGGGAAACAACCCAGACCCACAGCUAAGGUCCCAAAUUCACUGCUAAGUGGAAAACGAUGUGGAAAGGCAUAGACAGCCAGGAGGUUGGCUUAGAAGCAGCCACCCUUUAAAGAAAGCGUAAUAGCUCACUGGUCGAGUCGGUCUGCGCGGAAGAUUUAACGGGGCUAAGCAGUGAACCGAAGCUUGGGGUGCAUAAAACUUGUUUUAUGCGCGGUAGAGGAGCGUUCCGUAAGCCUGCGAAGGUGGAUUGAGAAGUCUGCUGGAGGUAUCGGAAGUGCGAAUGCUGACAUGAGUAACGAUAAUGCGGGUGAAAAGCCCGCACGCCGAAAGCCCAAGGUUUCCUUGCGCAACGUUAAUCGACGCAGGGUUAGUCGGUCCCUAAGGCGAGGGCGAAAGCCGUAGUCGAUGGGAAGCAGGUUAAUAUUCCUGCACCUCGCGUGAGUGCGAUGGAGGGACGGAGAAGGUUAGGUGUACCGGGCGUUGGUUGUCCCGGGGAAAGGCGGUAGGUUUGGGUCUUUGGCAAAUCCGGGAUCCUUUAAGACCGAGCACCGAGACGAGCCUUUAUGGCGAAGUCACUGAUACCACGCUUCCAGGAAAAGCUCCUAAGCUUCAGCUCACGAAGACCGUACCGUAAACCGACACAGGUGGGUAGGAUGAGAAUUCUCAGGCGCUUGAGAGAACUCGGGUGAAGGAACUAGGCAACAUGGCACCGUAACUUCGGGAGAAGGUGCACCCUUUUUGGUGGCUCGUGCGAGCUAUAGCUGAAGAGGGUCGCAGAAACCAGGCCGCUGCGACUGUUUAUCAAAAACACAGCACUCUGCAAACACGAAAGUGGACGUAUAGGGUGUGACGCCUGCCCGGUGCUGGAAGGUUAAUUGAUGGGGUCAGCCGCAAGGCGAAGCUCUUGAUCGAAGCCCCAGUAAACGGCGGCCGUAACUAUAACGGUCCUAAGGUAGCGAAAUUCCUUGUCGGGUAAGUUCCGACCUGCACGAAUGGCGUAACGACAGCGGCGCUGUCUCCACCCGAGACUCAGUGAAAUUGAAAUCGCUGUGAAGAUGCAGCGUUCCCGUGGCAAGACGGAAAGACCCCGUGAACCUUUACUAUAGCUUUACACUGAACGUUGAGUUCGUCUGUGUAGGAUAGGUGGGAGGCUAUGAAACUGUGGCGCUAGCUGCAGUGGAGCCAUCCUUGAAAUACCACCCUGUCGUGCUUGACGUUCUAACCUAGGUCCGUUAUCCGGAUCAGGGACCGUGUAUGGUGGGUAGUUUGACUGGGGCGGUCUCCUCCUAAAGAGUAACGGAGGAGCACGAAGGUACGCUCAGCGCGGUCGGACAUCGCGCACUGUGUGCAAAGGCAUAAGCGUGCUUGACUGCAAGAUCGACGGAUCAAGCAGGUACGAAAGUAGGUCUUAGUGAUCCGGUGGUUCUGUAUGGAAGGGCCAUCGCUCAACGGAUAAAAGGUACUCCGGGGAUAACAGGCUGAUACCGCCCAAGAGUUCAUAUCGACGGCGGUGUUUGGCACCUCGAUGUCGGCUCAUCACAUCCUGGGGCUGUAGUCGGUCCCAAGGGUAUGGCUGUUCGCCAUUUAAAGUGGUACGCGAGCUGGGUUCAGAACGUCGUGAGACAGUUCGGUCCCUAUCUGCCAUGGGCGUUGGAAGUUUGAGAGGGGCUGCUCCUAGUACGAGAGGACCGGAGUGGACGAACCUCUGGUGUUCCGGUUGUCACGCCAGUGGCAUUGCCGGGUAGCUAUGUUCGGAAGCGAUAACCGCUGAAAGCAUCUAAGCGGGAAGCGCGCCUCAAGAUGAGACUUCCCGGGGCACAAGCCCCCUAAAGGAACCAUGUAGACUACGUGGUUGAUAGGUCAGGUGUGUAAGUACAGCAAUGUAUUGAGCUAACUGAUACUAAUGAUCCGUGCGGCUUGACCAU